AUUCUGAAAACAAAGCAAUGAUGGUGAAGAAGGUACUGUGUAAGUUACAUCCUGUGUGAGUCUCUUUCAGAAGAAUUCCAUCUCUACUGCUUUUGGAGGGUAAAUUCCAAAUGAACACCGUUUUGGAAGUUUCCUGUUGAUGAUAAUCGAUGACCCGUUACCUGUUGAAGCAGUUCCAGGACUUACUGGGGAUGGUCAACAUUGUAUAAUUGCA
rnacentral:lncRNA from 1 species